GUGUCCCAGGAGGCCCCGCGGCCAGCUCCGGGCAGAGGCGCCAGGAGCUCUCUCGCCCCAUUCCCUGCGGGCACAGGUGGGGCCGUUAGGGGUUGACCUUGGAAGUAAAACGCCUUCAGGAAUUAGUUUUCCUUCCAGCAGGGUGGAUGGGGAGCAUCGCUGGCUGACAGGCUGGUCAGAAAAUGUGAUGUUCUGAAUCGUGGAUUUUCAGGUUACAAUACCAGAUGGGCCAAAAUUAUCCUUCCAAGAUUAAUCAGGAAAGGAAACAGUUUGGACAUCCCAGUAGCAGUUACAAUUUUCUUUGGGGCCAAUGACAGUGCACUAAAAGAUGAGAAUCCCAAGCAGCACAUUCCCCUGGAGGAGUACGCUGCGAACCUGAAGAGCAUGGUGCAGUACCUGAAGUCCGUGGACAUCCCUGAGAAUCGAGUCAUUCUCAUCACGCCGACCCCACUUUGUGAAACAGCCUGGGAAGAACAGUGCAUCAUACAAGGUUGCAAACUAAAUCGCCUGAACUCUGUUGUUGGUGAAUAUGCCAAUGCGUGUUUACAAGUGGCCCAAGACUGUGGGACUGAUGUACUUGACCUGUGGACCCUGAUGCAGGACAGCCAGGCCAUAUUUACCUGUUAAGGUUCUUUCAAAUAACCUGAGAAUCAUGUCAUAUGAUUCAGAAGACCUGGAAUGAGGUCCCAGCUCACUUAAUGGACUUCUCAUCUUAUUUAUCAGAUGGACUACAUUUGUCUCCAAAGGGGAAUGAAUUUUUGUUCUCGCAUCUCUGGCCUUUGAUAGAGAAAA
rnacentral:sRNA from 1 species